GGUGAGUUGGUUUAAACCAGGAGUUUGCUAAACUUCCGUAGGUUAUAAUGACCUACCGAGGGUUCGAAUCCCUCUCCUUCCGCCA
rnacentral:tRNA from 1 species